CUGUGACCAUUUCGAGGAAGCAAAACACUCUGUUUUCCCGAUAAUGGAGCUUGCUUUUAAACAGAAGUCACAAAUAAGAUCUCCAAAAAGACUGCCAAAAGUACCGAACAAUAGUGAAAGCCGAAUUAUAACCAAGGAGACUUGGUGCAGUGGUUUUCAGAGCUUCCUAUUGAGUUGGAGAGUCCCCCGUUCGAUUCUCCUCCUGACCUUUCUCCAUUGGAAACUUUUAGACACAUCAAAGGUUUGAGACCCAAUGUAAAACGGACAGACACUGAAUAAAGGAAAAAACUUGGAACAUGUGUUGACCGGUUUCGCUGACCGGGCAGGAUUCCCCCCUUCGACUCUAGCACAGGAGUGCCAUGCGUCCUAUGGAAAUCCACAAUCGGUCUAAAUGAUUCACAACAAAAGAGAAGAAUGUGACCCUGAAAGGACCUUUGAGCAUCUUUCCUUUAGGAUGUUCAAUUUUAGGGUGCCAUCUUUGUCUGUCCCGAUCUUCCAACCAUCCCCAAUGUUGCAAAAGCCAUGAUAAAGAUUUCUCUGCUAAUGCACAGUGUUUAAUAUGGUAUUACUGUAAGUACUCUUCAGCUAUGAUCCCUAGACCUUUGAAGAUGCUUUUUGAUGUCAUCUAAUCUAGAGGAACCAUGUUUCAUUAAAAUAUUAUAAUAUAUAUCUUUAUAGCGACUCUCGCUCCUGCCAAUGCGUAAAAUAUACAAAAGGGAAUGUAUUGUCAUACAUAAGAUUGGUAAAAGAA